rnacentral:sRNA from 1 species
CAAUACAAGUUCAAUGUGGCUGAAACACCUGUCUCCUCAUUGAUCACAAGGUUUGAUUCAGCUGAUCUGCUCUGAUAGCCAGGUAUAUCUUCUUCUCUGGUGGCUCCAUGUGUGUCCCUUCCAAAACUGUGUCUAGCUAAUGAAGACAGCUUUCCCCAGUAGAGGAAAUCCAUUCUUUGAUCAAGAAUGUAAAAUCAGAAAUUUGGAGAUUGUAGAGAGCAUACCACUAAUGGAUGUGUCUUAUGACAUACCCAUCAAGG